UCUGUGUGCCGCCUGAAACUACACAUCACCAUUUCUCAGGGCUGGUUUGCUGCAUUGUGUCCAAUGCCGCUUAGAAGCACUAGAUGCCAAUGACUUUGUAAGCAGGCUGAGAACAUGAAUGAAUGAAUAAAAUGGGAGAUGCACAUGAAAUAAAUAGCUAAGUGCAGAGAAACCGCCCAGUGAUGGCAACUAACUACACUCCUUCUGGUACCUGGGCUACAAAAGCACGACUGCCCCAAAAGAAGUGUCAUUUCUUGUCUAGGCAUUCCGACCAACAGCACUCCACAUUCAAAUAACGACUGAAGAAACCACUAAGAAAGAAUAAACCACAUUGUUACUGUGGCAGCGUUUUCUGUUUUUUUUUUUGAGUGCCAUCAUGCAUUAUUUUUGUUUAAAAACUUUAAGUAAACAGGGACGGCUGGAUUGGCGCCCCAAAAUGUACUUGCCUAUCAGCCUGUCAUUCUCUUGGAUGACCACAAUGCAGCAACAUAACAAUGUCAAUCAGCUCUGGCAAUGCAGUUAGAUAACUGGUCCAGAAGAAGGCCCCAACUUGUUA